GAAGCCCUUAGCAAAUGUAUGCAUGGAGUAAAGCAGGUUAUAAAAAGCAUAACUUCCCAGGUGUCAUGAGCAUUUCCCCUGUAUUUUUACAUCUGAAACCAUGCGCAGAAUUUACUGAAGAAAUUACUGUCCUGCCUGGAGCAUACAAUUUUACUCUUUGCAUUUCAAAAAUGAGUAUCAGCACAGACAUUUUAUGUACUACUUCCAUUUAUCUGGCUGCCAAGAAACAGUGUCUUGGGAUCAGCUGUGACCCCCAUCUUCAGAUAUGACAGGUGACGGGGGGAGAGAGUGUGUGUGAAUAGGCAGACGGAUCCGCGCGCUAAUUCAGAGGAGAAACCGCAUCGGUUAUCGCUUCCGAACACGCAGCAUUCAAUGUGCUGUGAAUGCCUUUGUUUACGGACGUAUGGAGGCCCAGUCACCGCCAGAGCGCACGAGCCGUGGCAAGAGGCAUGUGAAAGCACAAUUCUUCCCGCAAUCGUAGCGUUCUUCUGUCAAGAUAACAAGGUUUGUGUAUGAUUUCAUUUUGCACAGGGUAUGCUGCACAAGAAAGCCAAUACAUAAAACUGCUGUUACUCCAAAAUAUAUAUUUAUUGUAUUAAUGAAUCACAUUUGAUUAGGGAAAAAUUAUGUUAGGAAAGAACUGUUAAUUGCAGUUAUUUCUUCUACCAAAUUACUGUAAACCUAUCACCAUUAAACAUGAAAUUCAAUACCCUCUUCUGGAGGCUGUCAGUUCUUUGUUUUGAUUUUGCUCAGAUAGAUAGAUAGAUAGCAUCCAACCCUUUAAAAAAUUCUGACUACUAUAAACCCAUCAAUCAUAAAUAUUUUAUUUAAUAUCAUCUCAUUAACAAUAUAAUGUCAACAUUGAUUUUACA